rnacentral:rRNA from 1 species
GAAACUAAAAGGAUUUGGCGGCAAUUUGAUCUUUCAGAGGAAUUUGUCUUUUAAUCGAUAUUCCUCGUUGGAAUUUACCUAAUUUUGUUUAGCUUAUAUAUCGUUGUUUUUAGAAUGUAUUUUUUGAUUUAUUUUCUUAAUUUUUAAUUAUAGUAAUUCAGAUCAAGGUUUAGUUUAUGGUUAGGUUAGGGUGAAUUACAAUAGUUUUAUCUAUUACGGAAAGGUUUUUAAGGAUUUAGGAAGGUGGAUUUGAGAGUAA